rnacentral:rRNA from 1 species
CUACGGGCGGCCGCAGUGAGGAAUAUUGCACAAUGGGGGGAACCCUGAUGCAGCAACGCCGCGUGGAGGAUGACGCAUUUCGGUGUGUAAACUCCUUUUAUAUGUCAAGAAAAUGACGGUAGCAUAUGAAUAAGCACCGGCUAACUCCGUGCCAGCAGCCGCGGUAAUACGGAGGGUGCAAGCGUUACUCGGAAUCACUGGGCGUAAAGGACGCGUAGGCGGGUUGGAAAGUCAGGUGUGAAAUCCUACAGCUUAACUGUAGAACUGCACUUGAAACUUCUAAUCUAGAGUAUGGGAGGGGGAGAUGGAAUUAGUGGUGUAGGGGUGAAAUCCGUAGAUAUCACUAGGAAUACCUAAAGCGAAGGCGAUCUCCUGGAACAUUACUGACGCUAAGGCGUGAAGGCGUGGGGAGCAAACAGGAUUAGAUACCCCGGUAGUC